rnacentral:rRNA from 1 species
CUACGGGGUGCUGCAGUUAGGAAUAUUCUGCAAUGCGCGUAAGCGUGACAGAUUGAGCCAGAGUGCUUUUCAUUUGAAAAGCUUUUGCCAAAUGCAAAAAGUUUGGCGAAUAAGGACUGGGUAAGACAGGUGCCAGCCGCCGCGGUAAUACCUGCGGUCCAGGUCGCAGCCAUCAUUAUUGGGUCUAAAACAUCCGUAGCUUGCUUAGUAAGUUUCUUGUGAAAUUCUAUAUCUCAAGUAUGGAGCGGGCAAGAAGUACUGUUAAGCUAGAGACUGGAAGACGUAAGAAGUACGUUUGGAGUAGCGGUAAAAUGUGUUAAUCCCAAACGGACUAACAACAGCGAAGGCAUCUUACGAGGACAGUUCUGACAGUAAGGGAUGAAGGCUAGGGGCGCAAAACGGAUUAGAUACCCGUGUAGUC